rnacentral:lncRNA from 1 species
UGCAAAUCUGGGGGCGGAUCUCAGCAAGCCGGCCAACAAAUCGGGGCAGGCGGCCUCGUGGGCGGCCGACUUGCGGAGACUCGGAGCGUUGGACGGCGCGCCUCUUCUGCGAUGGGUACCACCUUCUGUUGGCUGGGACGCCGAUCUCACAUUCUGUGCUGGAGACAAAAAGACGUGGCGAAGGCUUGGAGGUUAAUCUCCUGGAGCAGAGAAUGGAGGCAGCCAAGGAAGAUGCUGUUGAACCAGUUAGGAGGCUGUUGCAGCUAUCCCAGCAAGAUUUGAUGAUAAUGUGGACUUGAGAGGUGGCAGAGCAGUUGCCCAAAGCUGGAUGACUUUCAGAGCGCUGUUCUUGGAUUGAAGUGAGCGAAAGUAGUGCAGGACAAGCAUGACAUGGAAGGGAGAGAGAGUCUCAGCUGGGAGAGAAACAGCAGCAACUCCAAAUCGCCUUUUAUGAAAUCUUCCUGGCAAGAAUAUACUUCUAAUGUACCGGUUAAAAGGCGAGAAACCAGAUUGAACACACACACACACACACAAACACACCGUAUGCCCAGCAUUUUGGAUAUCAUGACAGGAGAGAGACUAGCUGAGAUAAAAAUUAAUAUAAUAUCUAGGAUUACUGAGCACUUCGGUGGAUACUACCAGGUUUUUUUUUACCCAGUAGCCAAUCUCCCAUUCACAGUACUAGAACUCUGCUGUAUGAGUAAAUGGAAAUACGCCCAGCUAAAAAAUGCCUUUAUUUCUGUAGUUCCCUUGCAACCAAGGGUGGUUGAUAUGACAAAUAAGCUAAGUCUGCUAGGGAUGACUUCUAGAAAAGCUAUUGAAUGUUGAUAAAAGAGACAUACUCACCAAACACGUGCCUUUUAACCUUCAAUCUCCUCCCUUCUUCCUGCCUGGAACUCAGGAGCGAUACUUGUAGAUGCCGCAGCCACCUUGUAACCAAAGAGCUGAAAGCCACACACUAAAUAAAGAUGGCAGAUCAGGAAAGUAAAAGGAGCCUGGUUCCUUGUGCAGCCAUUACUUUCUUUUUAUAGGUGAGGAAAUUGAGGCUCAGAGAUGUAAAUCAAAUUAUCCAUGGUCAGUUAGCUCUUAAGCAAUGUAGCUGGGAUUCAAAUCUAUGUCUGUAUGACUCCAAAGUCAUCUAUUUUCUGCUAUAGUACAAAACUUCCUAAAAGGGUAAACAUAUAUAGAACCCUUUCUCUCACAUUUACACAUCAUGAUAGACAAAGCAAAGUGUAAUGGGAAAAACAAAGUGUCCAUAUCUUUGACAGCAGAGCUACAAAUAUUACAUGUUCUCUUUGUUGACUACUAACAACUCCAGUCUGAUCAGCAAAAAUGACCACAGUUCUCUAUCACUUCAUCUUCUAUUCAUGCCAAUAACAAAGGCUUCAAACAGUGAUAAGCAACUUGUGUUGAGUGUCAUCAACAAGGAG